rnacentral:misc_RNA from 1 species
UUUACACUCUUUAAUUUAAAAAAUUUUAAAAGAUAUACCAUUGAUCAUCGUGGUUUUAUAUGAGCUCUAUCAAGAAUAUAUUCAUGGUCACAGUUGUAUCAAAUAAAAUUUUUUUUAUAAGUGAUUGGUGCAUUGCACUGUUUUUUUUGCAGCAGAUGUAUCUAAUAAAUUGACAAGAAAAGGAGGAGAAGGGAAAGGAAAAAGAAAGAAGAAAAGGAGGGGAAGAGAAAGGAAAAAGAAAGAAAAAAUGGAGAGAGGGAGAGAGAGAGAAUGGUUGGAAGCUCCGAACUCCAUUUUACAACAAUAGCAAACUUGACAAGGAUACAUAAAUGUUUGUGUGUGUAUUUUGACAUAAAGCAGCAGCCAGCAGGUAGGUAAGUCCCAUAGGCUCUUUCUUUAUUACCAAAGCUGAAGCUCCUAAGUAAUUUAAUUUAGUUCUUAAACAGGUAACAUUCCGAUUCAGUGCUUUUUGAAAUUUUAUACAAUUUUAUGGUUUGAAUCACAAUUUAAAUUGAAAUUAAUUGCUCUAAAAGUUGAGUUGAGUUGAGUAUAAUUAGAUUGCUUGAUAUGAUCUGUUGAAGCAUCCAUGAACACGAAAUCCAAAUUCAUCAAUCUAAAAAUUGUUAUAAUUGAUGUUCUUUUGUGAACAUUUAUGGCAGGAUUGAAGCUGAGCCAGUUUGUUUCACAAGGGAGAAAGUCCCAUAAAUAUGGAGCCUGGACUUUACCGUGCAGCAAUCUCAGAUGAUCGGGAUUUCUUCACGAAACCCACCUUUGAUGCAAGUGUCGUGCUCCAGCAGGUUACAUCCCAGCAACAAGACACCAUUCUCCAUGUUGCAGUAAAAUUCAAAAGCAAGGAGGUAGCAGCAGUGAUCAUGAAAUCGUCACCAUCUCUUGUGUAUAAAAAGAAUACAAAGGGUUGACACUCCACUUCAUGUUGCGGCGAGGCUAGGGAGUUUAGAGGUGUUACAGUUCCUAACAAGUAAUGAAAGGAUGGAACUUGAAGCCGAAGAAGAGCUACUGAAGAUGGUGAAUAUGGACGGUAACACAGCACUUCAUGAAGCUGCGAGGAAAGGAAACUUCGAGGUUGUGAAGUUACUGAUUCAGAAAGAUCCGGAAUUGGCCAUGUUGAAAAAUAAAGCGGGGGAGUCUCCACUAUUCCUCGCUGCGGAUCAAAUGCAUUUCAGAAUUGCAACCUGCAUCUUACAAGUUGUUCCAGGAUGCUCUUUCCAGGGAAGGAGCAAAAUGAAUGCCUUGCGUGCGGCUGUUGUUCGUUCAUAUGUCCAAGGUGGAUUCUAUCUCCUAUACUAAUUAAGAAUCACUAGUAAGAGAAGAAAAAAAAUUUGUUAUGGGUUGCAUUUUGUUAUUCUGUAGCUAUUGACUAAGAAAAGUUCUCUUCCUAUAACAGGGAAGCUGCUGUAACAAGAUGUGUAGAGAGAAGUCCAUGUAAAGAAAUUUUAUAUGUUAAAAUGGGGGAAAAAAAAUUCUUUUGAUCACUAAAAGUUGAGGUAGUUCUUGUUUCUGCUAAAAAUAAUGUCUUUCAUUCUUUCCUUUUGCAGCUCAUACUUGCUAUACCAACAUAUUACACAUUUAUUUGGUAACCUUACUGCUACGUGUUGCCUGUAAGUUGAAAACUUGAACCUGGAUUCACAGUUGAGGAAUGCUCUCUUUUUUGUUGUCCACCAUUCAGGCAGGGACUAUAGUAGGUCCAGUCACUUCAACAUAACGACAAUGCUCAGAAGGGAUUUCCACCUGGACCAUGUUAAUCUUACAGAUUUCAUUAUACUGUUAAUUAAAAAGCGUCCAUCAACUAUGGUAGAAGCAAGCAACACUGGAUGGACUCCUUUUCACCAUGCAGCAUACGCGGUUCGGGAAGCCAUUGUCAAAGAGUUGCUGUUAGCUGACAAAUCCAUAGCUUGCACUAAAAAUGAGGAGGGCAUGGCUGGCCUUCAUGUGGCUGCAAGAGAAGGGCAGGUGCCUGUACUGGAAAAAAUUGCAGAAACUUGUCCAGAUAUUUGGGAUUUGAAAGACAACAAUGGCCGGACUGCUCUUCAUGUUGCAGCUGAAAGUGGAAAGGCAAACGCUGUCAAGUUUAUUUUGAAACAGGUCACUGAGGAUCAUAUAAAUGACCAAGAUAAUGAAGGAAACACGGCAAUGCAUCUAGCGACUCUGCAGGUUCAUGGGAAGAUCUUUCUGUUUCAGACAAAUGAUAGAAGGGCAGAUAUGACAAUCAUGAACAAGGAUUGUCUUGCUGUUAUGGACACAUUAAUUCAAUGAGGGCAGUCGGACAUUUUCAGACUGGGUUGGAUGAAAAUUCAGUUGUCAAUUGCUGGUCUAGCAAGUUUAGAACAAGGUCGCAAGAAGAAAAUUGCAGCAAGAACAGAGCCUGCAAAAGACAAUGCGGAAAAUCAUGAGGAUGAAGAGGUUGAAGAUAAAAGAGUAAAACCUGGGGCACAAGAAGUUUUACCCUUUGCCGGUCUUAGGAAUGUGGCCAACACGGAUAUAUUGGUAUCAACUCUCAAAGCUACCGCAGCUUUCGCAGUUCCUGGAGGGUACAGAAACCAUGGACCUGAUGAGGGCAUGCCAGUUCUAAUCAAGAGAGCAUCCUUCAAAGCGUUUGUGGUGGGGAAUACCACAGCUCUUGUUUGCUCCUUUUUAUCACCAGGUGUUCAUAGAUUCAAUACCUUUGUGGUGAACCGGAAGUCCAAUGUAAAGUGGACAGGGUAUGCGCUACUAUUAAGCUUCAUUGCCUCCUUUGGAAUGGGUGUCGCUUUUAUUGCUGGCUCCUGUGCAGUGUUAGCUGAUUGUGCUGCACUAUUUAUGGCGGUUCUCUUAAGUAGUUAUUUCUUGCAUGUUCUGCUUUUCUCACAUGCCCUUUUUAAUACAUAAGAUCGUUACUGAUUGAAACAGAACUUUGAUUAUACCAAAUAGGACUCGCCCUGUUCCUUGGCAGCGAGUAAAAAGCAUUUGAGAGAAGUCUCUCUUUUAGCUUUCCUUCCCUUCUUCCCUUGAGAUGAUGAAAUCAUAUCAAGUUGGAGAUUAUAAGUUCAAAUUUCAUAACAUAAAGGUUUCAGCGUCAAUUGACCAUAGUGGGAGUAUCCAGCUGCACUUGUACUAACCAUAUAUAUGAUCACCCUCAAGACUGUAUGAAGCUGAUGAUGCGGCAUCGGGUUGUCCAAGGCUAAUUAAGUUUUGGCUCGCCUUAGAAGUAACUGCUUUGGAAGAAAAUUGAAAACAACAAAU